rnacentral:rRNA from 1 species
AUGGAACGCUGGCGGCAGGCCUAACACAUGCAAGUCGAGCGGAUGACGGGAGCUUGCUCCUUGAUUCAGCGGCGGACGGGUGAGUAAUGCCUAGGAAUCUGCCUGGUAGUGGGGGACAACGUUUCGAAAGGAACGCUAAUACCGCAUACGUCCUACGGGAGAAAGCAGGGGACCUGCGGGCCUUGCGCUAUCAGAUGAGCCUAGGUCGGAUUAGCUAGUAGGGGAGGUAAUGGCUCACCUAGGCGACGAUCCGUAACUGGUCUGAGAGGAUGAUCGGUCACACUGGAACUGAGACACGGUCCAGACUCCUACGGGGGGCAGAAGUGGGGAAUAUUCGACAGUGGGCGAAAGCUUGAUCCAGCCGUGCCGCGUGUGGGAAGAAGGUAUUCGGAUUGUAAAGCACUUUAAGUUGGGAGGAGGGUUGUACGUUAAUACCGUGCAAUUUUGACGUUACCGACAGAAUAAGCACCGGCUCACUCUGUGCCAGCCGCCGCAGUAA